AGGAGCGCGGAUCUCCGUCCCAGUGGGCGUGGCCUAGGCGAGGGAGCGCGGGACCCGCUGUGCGGGCGCGGAGGAGCGCGGCGCUGCGGCCCGGGGGCAGCGGCGGGGGGAGGCGCAGCGCAGCUCCGGGCUCGGGCAGGAGCUCAAGAUACGCCCGGGGAGGCAGCGCGGAGCCCCGGGGCCGCCUUCUCCUUCCCUCCCGACCCCAGCCCCAAGACAGCCGGGGACCCCGCUCCUCUGCGCCUCCGGGUGCUUAGUGUUACCUUUUACACGUGGCUAUUCACUAAUUAUCAAGGGGAUGAGGAGGAUGAAGCAGAUGAAGACGAAGCUGGUCCACCAGGAGAGUACAAAUAAGACGAAGAUGAAAAUGAUGGAGGUUCAGAUUUGGGGGAGAGUGAAGAGGAGGAAGAAGCUGGCCUUUCAUACCUGAUAAUGGACAAGAUCCAGGUAGGACUUACCCUAUUCUACUAUAAGGCUCAGGAUUUUCUUGACACUGUCUAGCUAUAAACGUGUAAUAAUUUAAACGUGUAUAAGCAGAAUCAUGUAAAUCCACUAUCAUAUAUGAGCAAUACAGUACUUUAGAAAGAGACCUUUUAGUAUCAAAGAAGUGCGUUACAGUAGGGGAACCACCGCUCUUUGGUAUUCUCCGUUAUCUUGCUCAAAAUGAAAUGCUUCAAGAUUCAUUACUUCCCAGCUUUGUAGAAUUAGUGUCAUUCUGCACCAGAUCACCACGUCAGAUUUGGAGGAGAACGUGGCUGAAAAAGUCCACCUGCCCUACCAGGAUGCUCACAAGUGCCUGGGGCGCUUCAGCCUUGAGAGCCAUGCCCUCACCAUGCAGAUCUGCAGGUUGUCAGGUGUGGGGCUGGGGCUUCCAGGCAGGGGGGAGAGGGUGAGUAUGGAGGAGCUAGGGCCUGAGGGUGCAGGGGGCUGAUCAGGACGUGAGGGCUGAGGCAAAGGGGAGACAGGCUGGGAAUCCAGGAGUGAGGGCUGGCCACUGAGGAAGAAGUCACGGAGAGGCUGGAGCUGUGGCCCUGGGAGCGCUGUGGGUCUGGCCAUGCAGGGGAGAGCUGGGACGGGGAGCGGAGACUUGCCCUGGGUGGGAGCGCCUUGCCCUUGCCCUGGGUGGGAGCACAGGACCUUGAGCUGCUGUUAGUGGAGGGAGGUGGGUGGGAAGUUGGAUCCUGGCAUUUUGGGGAAGGAGAAGGGAUUGGAUGCUCCUUUCACCCCACUUAUCUCAGAGCCCUUUUCUUUCCUAGCCAGGGGGGCAGAAAGCCCGUGUGAUGUUUGCUGAGCUGACCUGCAGGGAGCCUGAUGGACCCAGGGGAUGGGAACGGGGCUGUGUCAGGUUCGCUGCUCUGGGAAGGAAGCGAGUUAGAGCAGAGCAGGCGUGAGGACCAGGACUUGCAGGUUGUGCCCUGCUCUGGCUCUUUGAAAGGAGUGCUGUCCAGCAUGCCAUAGUGAGGGGCAUGGUUUGGGAGGACUCCUGGGUCCUGUUUCUAGCUGAGGAAAGGAGGUGGGUGGAAGUGGCUGGGAGGAAAGUUUUGUGGCUCAGGACUCCUGGCUUCUUUUUGGGAUCUGUCAUUUCCCCAGAAUGAACCCACAAAUCAUCUGUGCAUUGAGUCAAUUGAUCCCUUGGGUGAUGCUGUCAGCACGUACAUGGAGCGGUGAUCAACGUGAGCCAUGAUGCACGACUGAUCACGCAGACCAGCUGCCAGCUCUGGGUGGUGGAGGAGCAGUCCAUCAGCAACAUCAAUGGCGACUUCGACUGCAAGUGGGAGGUGCUGGAGGCCUUGGCCCAGGUCAGCAUUAACUGGCCCUGGGAGUGACCUUGCUGUGGGGAGGCUCCUCGAGGACCUGCCCAUCCCCUCUCAGAGACCUGCCUGCACAGCUUGACGUGCACCCACACCCAAAGGACUCUGUAGAGGGGGCAGAGUUACAGGCAUGGUUGUGGGUUGAACUUUGAAGAUGUGGGGUGGGGGCCUAAUGCAAGACAUGUUUACUUUUAGAGCUGUUCUUCUACACCUGCUGCUUUCCCAGGAGAGAGAGACUUAAUUUAUAUGAAUGGGAGGGAGGGGGUUGUACUGGAAUGGUCUAUUUUAGGCAGGAGUGAGGGCUGUCCUUGUCCCAUUGCUGGGUUCCCUGCCCCCCAGUCUGGAGAAUGGCUUGAGCCUUGUUUUGCUUCCUCCCAAGAAGAUUAUAUUAAAAUAUAAUAAAGGAAAAGUGGCUCGUGGUGGGUUUUAUUCUGAAGGGGUAGGAGUGGGGCUUCACAGUACUGGCAGGAGAGACACCCCUGAGAUUGCAGUGGACAGACAGACUGGGCUGAGGCAUGGGGAUGGAAAGAGGUUCCUGUCACAACCCAAGGGUGUGAUUUUUGUUUUUGUGUGUGCUUUGGCGCCACUGAAUUAUUUUCCCGCCGUUUUGGAGCUUUCUUUGCAGGGUGCAUUUCUUCUUUGCAGCAUAGAAAUGCACGUUGCAAGGAGUUCCCGCCAUUUGUAUUUAAAUUCGAGCCCCAUUAUUGGCUUGUGUUAAAUGAUUUCUACGUGGCGGCUAGCAAUUGGCUUGCUAGCCGUAUAAGAGGCUUGAGUGGUUUCCACCCAAGUUGGAGGACUCCACGAACAUCAGGAGGAGGAGACUUCAUGUCUUGUGAAGAUCUCUAAGCGCUGCGGAGCCUAUUGGAACCAGCGUAUUUCAAGAAGGCAACAGGCGUCUGAUCAGCCUCUAGCCUCUCCCCGUCGCUGAGCGCAAUCCUCGACGUAUCCCUCUUCCCUGCUUGCAAAAAAGGAUCCACGGAGCCUCGACAACUCCGUGGGAGUGAUCCGAGUACUGUCUGAGUCCUCAAACUGGGGAUUUAAGCAGAGCUUUGCCUGGGAAACUGUCCAGCCUACACCGC